CCAAUGCAACACCAGUCGAUACAUCUAUGGAUGAUGAAAGUCCUCGAGAAAGAACCGGAUCCUUGUAGGUUGCAUUCUCGUUUACGGCCGUUUUUGAUUCAGACUUUUCGCUCAACUUUCUCUCUUCCAUCUUCUUGAUCGACUUCUCUAUUUGUGCAUUAAACUCUUCUUCCGUUAUAGUUAGAGAACUACAAUCCAGUGUUUCGAUGAAGGACAUAGCUCCCAUUAGAGUA